rnacentral:rRNA from 1 species
UACCGCAUGAUACCGAGAGGUCAAAGGGGGCUCUCAAGGGCUCUCGCCACAGGAGGGGUCCGCGUCCGAUUAGCUAGUUGGUAGGGUAAUGGCCUACCAAGGCGACGAUCGGUAGCCGGCCUGAGAGGGUGAUCGGCCACACUGGAACUGAGACACGGUCCAGACUCCUACGGGAGGCAGCAGUGGGGAAUUUUGCGCAAUGGGCUAACGCCUGACGCAGCAACGCCGCGUGGAGGAUGAAGGUCUUUGGAUUGUAAACUCCUGUCAGCAGGGAAAAAGCGACUCGGAUUAAUACUCCGGGGAGUUGAUUGUACCUGCAGAGGAAGCCCCGGCUAACUCUGUGCCAGCAGCCGCGGUAAUACAGAGGGGGCAAGCGUUAUUCGGAAUUAUUGGGCGUAAAGGGCGCGUAGGCGGCUUG